CCAGUGUUCUCUUUUGCCAGCCAGGGCUGUUUUGGAAGGAACCCUAAACUGAAUUCUGAAAUCAAAUAACAUUUUCUACUUGAAAUGCAGCAUAAUUGCUAUCAGUAUAUGCAGGAGUAACAGAAAACAGGCAAAUAUAAUCAUUUUGGGCCCUCAAAGUCAGGUAGUAAUAGGUAAAGAAAUAACAGCUUCUAUCUUCUCUCUCCUGUGAUUGCUUUUAAUCUCAAAUAUAAUUGCUUUCUCCCCAAAUUUCUCACAAUGUUACAUUACAAGCAUGAAUUUAGUUCUAUUUUUAUAAGCCAUAUUAUUCUGUUGAGAUCAUGACAGAAACAUGUCCUGGCCUCACACUAUAACAAAUGAAUACCAUCAUAACAGAAGAGCCAGUGCGUCAUUUUCAGCCACAGUGGUUAGUAGAGUCUCACCCUGGCAGGAAAGGAAAGACAAAACUUUUGGUGAAGUCACCAGCUUCCCUAACUUCUUCAUGGACUUUAAACAGUCAGACACCACAGUGACGGAAAGGAAGAUGGACUACAGCAGAUGACCAGGAGAAAGUCAAGCCUGCAGAGACAGAAUGAAGACUCUUUACUUUCAUCUGUAUUUGCCAUAAGAACUGGCAAUGAAAUACAGACACAGAAUUGCAGCGUUUUUAUCUGUAUUUCGGAAAAAUUAUACAAAUAUAUCAAGAAAAAUAUUUUUAAAUUUAACUUUGUGAAAAUAUUCUGAAUGUGUCAGUGACAGCUUACCAAUAAGGAAGCAAAGGGAGAGAACAAAUGAGAACAGCUACAAAAUGUCAUGAAAACUCACAACAGACAAAUGGUCAGAAAUUACAGAAUCCACAGAAUAAUGGAAUAUUCUGAGUUGGAAAGGAUUCACAAGGAUCAUUAAGUUCAACUCUUGGCCCUGCACAAGACAGCCCCAAGAAAAACAACACGGGCCUAAGAGCAUUGUCCAAACACUUCUUGAACUCAAUGUUUAAUUGGAAUAUAAUUUAUUCUAACACUAAAAAAUAUACAAACCAAAAUAAUACAUAUUGUAUAUAAGAUAGGAGAUUAUGAAAUAACUUCCUAGAGACUCAAUACCUAAUAAAGUGAAAAAGGACUUAUAACUACUAGAACUA
rnacentral:lncRNA from 1 species